AGGACGUGCAGCUCUACUCGGCUCCCGGAGGCUUGUCCUUACGGGUGCACCUCCAGGAGGGCCAGGCUGCGGAGGAAGUCUCGUAGCAAGCAUAGCAGGAGGCCGCCUUACGCUAUUCUCCUAGCUUGGUCAUGGUAUUUCAUCACAGCCGCAGUGACCCCCAACUAAGAUAGAUGGCUACAUUCCUGCUGAGCCCAAAGUACAGGUACACCAAGCUUCUCCAUAUUCCUCCACAGAACCAAGAAAAGACAACGCAUAGUGUGCUCAUGCAGAGAGGAGCUAUGAACACUGGUAUCACCAAAUCAUACCCAACUUUCUCUUGCUGAGGAAAGUGCCAAGUUCGUAAGGACUGUGCUGAAAAUCAGCGCACAUAACUAGGGUUCACCAUGCCCACCCACUUAUGUGUGAAGUAGAAAACAGGUUUUUGGGGCUAUGUCGUCCCGGCUGUCCUGGAACUAGCUCUGUAGACCAGGCUGACCUCGAACUCACAGAGAUCUGCCAGCCUCAACCUCCCAAGCGCUGGGAUUAAAGGUGUGUACCACCACUGCCCAGCCUGAGUCUGGCUUGUUUAUUUGUUUGUUUGUUUUUAACUAAAAAAGAUCUGUCUUUAAGGCUCACAAUUGGUAAAUGACAGAACCCACAUCCCCCUACCUAUUCUCCCAAUUUCCUGCACAGACACCCAAUCCCCUGUUUCAUUGAGUUCAUUUUAACACAUGUCAACAGAAGGAAGUUCCAUGAGCUCUGGCAGCCUGUGUGCAUGUGAUAGUAGCUGGCACCUCCUGAUAAACUAAUACCACCCAUCUCUGACCCUGACAGCAUGAGGGCUCCUCUGAGGGAUGUCAUGCGUUUGUCGUGCUCUCUGGCUGCCUAGGAGCUGUUUCUCCUAUGAAUAUCCUAGUCUUGGAAGUGUCCCAACAUGCAGCAAUAUUUUGUCAGCAGUUUUCAGCCUCUUUGAGUCCACCCCAGGCACUGUUCUUCUAAAGCUCUUUAGUGUGGGAAAUUUUAAAUAUUCGCUAACUUUGAUCCCCAGGUAACUCUCAUCCAGUCGUAUAAUGAUCAAUUGGUGGCCAGUCUUGCCUCCUUCAUUUACUGUCUCUUCCUGAAUUGCUCUGAAGAAACUUCUAGACAUCGUAUCAUUUUGUCUACAGAUAUUUCUUCUUAUAUUUUUUUUCCUGAAAUCUAAAGUCAUGUUAACGGCAACCAUAGCACCAUGAUCCAUUGAAACAUCUCCAAAGUUAAACUUAUCCUCCUCUAAUGCUACCAAAUGUCCAUUUUAGUGUUCAAACUUCUGUCCCAUCUCACUUAAACUUUGUGUCCAGUUUGCUUGAAAUAAGAGUGAAGAAAGCUUCCCCUGGGUCGAUCCUGUCUCAAGUCUCAUUCAGUCUAAGGCACAGGUUUAGUUUCCGGGAGUUCACCUGUGAAGAAACAGUCUCUUGGCCUGAAGUCUGGAUUUUGCUGAUUGACUCUGGGGUGUCCUUUGGUCAGUUUCUCUCUCACCUCCAUUUCCUGAAAAUUCACUUGUUACAAUUUUCUCUUU